AGUGGAAUUGCUGGGUCAUAUGGUAACUUUAACCUUUUGAGGAACCUCCAGACUGUUUUACAAGAUAGCUGCAUCAUUUUACAUCCCCAUCAAUAAU
rnacentral:pre_miRNA from 1 species